GACGAACCGUGCGAACGUUGUUCGGAAUCACUGGGCUUAAAGGACGCGUAGGCGGGCUGUCAAGUCUGGGGUGAAAUGCCGCGGCUCAACCGUGGAACUGCCUUAGAUACUGACGGCCUCGAGGAAGGUAGGGGCAUGCGGAACUGUAGGUGGAGCGGUGAAAUGCGUUGAUAUCUACAGGAACUCCGGUGGCGAAAGCGGCGUGCUGGACCUUUUCUGACGCUGAGGCGCGAAAGCUAGGGGAGCAAACGGG
rnacentral:rRNA from 1 species